rnacentral:misc_RNA from 1 species
GCCAGGGAUGCUACAUAUUAGGGGCCUUCAAUCAUCCAAAAAGCUGAUGGUAUACUCACGAAAAAGGUUCAACAGUAGGGACAAGUCUGGAAAUAUGAAUGAAGAAGGGAGUGGGCCAAUCGCUUCUGUACUGAGGAUUGAUACUGAUGAAAAUACAGUGUCCACGGUGCGAGAGGUCAGCCUAGCUGUUACUACUGAUGGUAGUCAGUCAACUUCGCAAGAGACCCAAACAGGCAGUACGCAGCUCAAGAACAAACAAUUCCUUAGCAAGCUCUCCAAAAAGAUUUCAGGCCUCCUUG